UUUUGACUCCCAGAGAAACUGGCUGAAACUGGGCUCAACUUGAACAGACAUUAUCAUUAGGGAGAGCCAGCUAAAGUGAGAAGAAACACAACCUAUUAAGACUAACUCUUGCCAGGCCAUCAGCUUCCAAAAAAAAAGGUCCUCAUCAACUUAUAGUGGAGCAAAACUUGCUUGGAAACAUACCUGGGAUAUGCUGAAGAGAGAACAACAAUGGAGACUAUUUUCUCUGGGGGGUGGCUAACAUGCAGAAGAACUCUUCUGCCAAGCGGGAGAGAUGGACUCUGCUGUGAGCUUUUCAGAGAGAAGGUUCUCAGGAUAGGCUCCACUGAGGUUUGGGUUCCUCCAGCCCUGCAGCUGCUCAUAUUCAAUCCAGCAACAGCCUCACCAAGACUCCAGAAGCUUCAGCCCGCCUGACCCCAUUGAGAUAAGGUCUGAUUGUACCCUCAUUUUCAAAACCAGGAAUGCACAGAAAAAGACAGAAGGCAAUGGCAUCUUUUGACAUAACGGACUAUCAUGACCCUCUGUAAAACCAUUAACAACUAUUAUAGGCGACAAAUGUACAGACAGCAUAUAUUAGGAGUAAUGAACCUUAUUAGUGCAUUGGUUCCAUAUGCAUAUCUAUGAGAAAGCAAAAUUGUAACAUUGGGAACAAAUGAAAAGUUAAACAAAAUUCUCCAUAUAAACUACAGUCACUGACAUAUAAACUACAGUCCAAAGCUGACAGACAACAUUCCACAUAAUGUUAUAGGGACGUGGAGAAAUGACUCCUCCCUCUCGAAGGCAAUCUUUGCAGCUUCAAACCGUGCACAGUGACAUUCUUUUAAAAAAAAUUCAGAGUUAAAAGAACAACGAUUUAUCAUUGUUUACUAUAUAUCAAAAACACAGCCAUUACCAAAGCCACAGAAAACCUUCACUUACACAUUUUUAUUUUCUGCAUUCUAGCCCACACCUUGGAAACUGAAUCCCUUUCCUUCAUCGAGAGUUUCCAAAGACUUUACACUUUGGAUAUAUUAUGCCUGAUCUAACAAUAAAACAAUGCAUAGAUAUCUCCCCACCAAAAUGUCUAUCUCAAUUAAUUUGGAGUUUACGAGGUUCUUGGCACAGUUCCUGACACGAAGUGAUUACUCAGUAAAUGUCACCCUCCUCACCCCUAUGUCUCCAUGAACCCAGGAAAUAGCAGGUGCUUCUCCUCCGGUAGCUGUGCAGUAAAUGUUGAUUGAUUUACUAACUGAUGACAGAAAACAAUUUCAAAAAUUAUACUUCUUUACCAUUCAGCAAUCUUAACCUCAACAAUGUAUGGAAAGAAAAACAUUGACGGUGAGGGUAAAAGCAGGUCAUGACAAUCCACUCAUGCUUCUACUACAGCUACCAUCCUAAAGGCUUGCUGGACAUUUCCAGGGUCCAGAGAGAUCACUAAUAGCAACAAUAAGAGCUUAAGAGUAAUCUAAGCAUGUUAAUUGCACUAA
rnacentral:lncRNA from 1 species